CAAAGAAAGAAAGAGGGGAAAAGAAAAGAGAAAAAGGGAGAAAAAAAAUUAUUAUUAAUCAAACCCUAGCCGCCGCACGCCGCCGCCGCCGCGAACCCGAGCCGCCAAGCCUUCCCCUCUCUGUUCAGCAGCGCAGCCGAGUCUGCAGUCAAAACCGAGCCGUCGCCGAGCUUCCAGCCGCGUCGGAAGAAUCGUCCAAGCCGAUCCGCGCACACCGAGCGUCCGUCGGAGCAGCCGUCUCUCGCAGCCGUCGCCCGAAGCCGAGCCGCGUCACCCUUUGCGAUCCGCAGCCGAUCCGUCAGCCAGCCGCGUCGCGCUGCUUCGAUCCGACGCAGCGCAGCCGAGCGUCCGUCUGCAGCCGUCGCCGAGCGAAGCCGUGGUGUAGCCGGACCACCCGCAGCCGUCGCGCCACCCGGAUCUGAAAACCAGCGCCUCGUCGCGUGAGGACCCGACCCGGCCGAAGCCCGCUCCGUAACCCGAGGCCCUGCCCGCGCUGCGUGCGUCCGACCCGGAACCCGAGCCGCGUGCACCCGCGAGCCGAGCAGCGCCCGCGUGCGAGCCGCACGUGCGUAGCCGCUGUACCAAGCCGAGCCGCGCCUGUCUGCGCCGCGAGCCGAGCCGAUCUUCAACCUCCAAGCCGAGCCGGUCCCUGCCCUUUUUCCAGCCGAGCCGCCAAGCCUAAUUUGGCUCCUCCCAUCCAAUUUUGGGACGUCUUGGACCAAGUAACUGCUGCAGCGUAGGAUUUCUUCAGUAGGGGCUCGAGCACUGCAACCUCUUUCUAGGUUAGGACCUCGUCGCUUGGAAAGCAUACUGCCUCGCGGUUAGGACUCGUCAAGUAAAUCUCCAGGUAGAGGACGAGGCAAGGGCAAAGGCAAGCUGGCGAGCGACCCGAAGUGACCGUGGCGAGCCAUAGGGACUUCUGCUUCCGCUUAUUCUUGUUUUUUUUUUUUUUUACUUUAGUACCUGAGUUUGAGUAUUCUUCAUUAUUUACCAUCUUUUAUGUAGAUAGGGCCCGAGUAGGACUUUAGAACGCAUUUCAUUUUUGCAUAACUACCUUGUUUGGAUUUUCAUAAAUAAAAUUUCUCAAACCUUAGGCGUUUUACUAAAUUUUAUGACUUAAA